AGCUUCCCGGCGACGUAGGCGUAGCGCCGCCAAGAGGUCAGCAACGAGGAGGUUCACCAGUCCGUUUCGUCGUCCUCGUCCCUAGGCGUCUGUUGCUGGAGAGAAGGACGCCAAGGCCCAGCAGUUUGUGACGGCCCCACCGGACGACGGACCCGGCGGGACAGCGGGCUCUAGCUUUCUCUCCCUUCUUCUUCAUCUGGACAGAGAAUGACUCUGCUCAGAUGCAUAGUCAGGCAACUCACCGGAGAGAGCUGGGAUGGAGGCGACUCUGAGGAAGAUGAAGGCCAAGAGCGGUGCCGCUGCCGGGGAGAGGAGGCCGGUGCUGUCGAGGACAAUACUGCUCCUCUGCGCCUGCAGCUUCAUCCUUGGCGUGCUCUUCACCGACCGGUUCAGAGCGAUGCCGGAUUUAAAGAGCCAGGUGGUGGCGCAGCUGCGGUGACAGGAAGAGGAGCUGCAGAUCGUUUCUGAAGAUUUUGUUGCGAUCGACAGCAUCCAUUUUUUGGCUCCUGGUUUAUUUCAGAAAAAGAACAAACGAGGUUUUUGAAGAUAAUAUAAAAUCAUGUUAUUUUUUAAAGAGCGAGUUAUGGAGUGAAAAUGGAUAUUUUAAUAAGAAGAUAAUCCUGAUGUUCUUCAGUUUCCUCUUUGGUUUGUAAUUCUGUGAACAUCCUUUCUUGAUUUCAGAAACCAUCCUACGACAGGGACGUGAUGGGGAAGUGGCAAAGACUCAUGAGGCCAUACACAUGGGAUUAGGACGACACACUAUGCCAUGUACACAAAAGGGAGGCAUGGAAGUGGACGUUGAGCAAACAGACGGGGUUCCUCAUCCCCAAGAAAACCCUAGCCUAGCGCUCUGGGAUGAUGUUGGUGAUCGCGCCGGCGCCGGCCUGGGCCCAAAGGCGCGCUUCGUCCUUGAUGGUGGAGCACAGGUGGGAGACAGAGGGUCGGUCCCCGUCGAAGGUGCAGCUGUUUCUAUGCUUCCAAAUCCACCAAGCGGUGAGGAUGAUGAGGGAGGAUAGGCCUUUACGCAUGGCAGCGGGCGCGAGAGCACAAGAAGAGGCCCAACGAUGCAACACCUGCUGGCUGGCUGCUCCUUCUCCCGCCAGGUGUGGUACGAUGUUCUUGCUUGGGCUUGCUUCCCCACCGAUCUGCCGACCGGAGACACCGACUUGAAUAUUGAAAAAUGAUCUGAAUUGUUUGCACUUCUGCGUUAUAUAUCUAUUGGGGGACUAAUUGGAAUAUAUCAUAAUUGUAUCUAGAUAUUUAGACAAGUUGAUCGCCACGCUGCAGAUGGAGUUGGCAGCGCGGUUCAGCAAGCAUGAGCUGCUUGAGAGUGCGGAUGGCAAGGCAGGAAAGGAAAAAGGCUUUUAUGGUGAGCAGGAUCAAUACCGCGUUCAGUAGCAAGAAGCGCCGUGAUUCUGUCAGGGAGAGAUGGAUGCCUCAAGGUUCAUUACUUUGCAAUGUUGUCUCCCUUGUUUUGGCUGUUUUGGCCUAGCUGUUGCUUUCUGCAUUUCUUGUUCUUAGUUAGAUCAAUGCAGAGGGAUGUGUUUUUAAUCAACUAGGAUUAUGACGUGCAAAUAGCAAGGAAAUAACAGAGAAAUGUGCAAGUACGAAAUCAAGGGAUCAGAUAGGAUCAUCUAUCGUCCCAGCAAAUAGAAUCAACUAAAUGUGAUUUUUUAUCAUCAUAACAACUAGAAUAAUCAGGUAGGUUUAUUUAACAUCAUAGCUGCCUUGGGUCAUACAGUUUGUUUGUUGCCUGCAUACUUUCUUCUAAGAGCUGAGCUAUUUAGAUUGGGGUGGAUCAUUUAGUUGUCUGGCAUUUAUUUUUAUUUCACCACAUAUAUCUCAUCGUUGUUUAUCAGAUGAGAAACUCAAGAAACUGGAAGAGGAAAAGGGAGUCGUCAUUCGAUUUAUGAUUGGGCAUAGGUAAGGUUACUGGCACUAAGGUUCAAUAUAUAAUAACUUGUUUGCUGAAAAAAAAUCAUAAGAUGAGGUCCCGUAAAAGACAAAUCGUAACAUAGAACACAUAUAUUGUAAAUAUCUCCAUGUAAAGCUUACAUAUUUUAGACAAUAAAAGGAACCCGUAAAGCCUCAAUGUUAUAAACAGGUGCAGAUGGGGUUUCCCUAAUUCCCUAUCUUUAAACAGGACACCACUUGUCUAAUUGGACAGUAAGUAGAUAAGGACAUAAAUCUGCUAUUCGUUGUGCAGCUAUGAGUCAACUGUGCAUGAACUGAAAAGGGAAGAUUGAACAAGUUCUGAGCUGCUAUCUGGAACCAUAAGUAUGCAAGUUUUACAAAAUAGUUUGGAUGAAAAAGCAAAACAAUACAAGGAGCCUGCGUAGAUGCACAUAUUUUUGAUGAAUAACACUCAUUUUAGUGUUAUAUCUCAGCUUGUAUGUCAGUAAGUGUGUAAGUUUAGUCUAAUACUCGCUUUUCUUUUUCCUCAGAUCAAAAGCCAAGGAUUUGUUGGGUGAUAGCUUGAUUCUAAGGCAUUAAUAGAUUUACAACACUUCCAAAAAUUUACUGGCAUUUUGUAUUAUAUUUAUUCAAGUCGCUGAUUGAUUCUUGACCAUCACUUGAUCAACUAUAUUCAUUUUCUAAUACAAAGCCACUUCGCUAAUUAUCUUAUGACUAUUGAAGGGUUUAAAAUAUUCAGGUAUUUCAAGUGACCAACAAGUGUUAUUUCAGUAAUUUGAAAUCUCCUGUAUUCAGAGUUUAGUCAACUCUUAGUCAUGUUCUUUAAUAAUCAUUAGGUCUAAUAAAAGUUUAGAACGAUGCACUAUUUUCCUGAAUUUUGACUAGGCAAGUGCAUCUUUGGUUGCGCCGAUCGGAUCGGAUUCAAUGCGUACAUCGUAUUGAUGGACUGCUGACCGCUUCAUCUGGUGUUUCCUCUGUCGUGUGAGUUGCAUGUUGUUUUGAGAGCUUGAAGCAAGCAGAAAGCCGAUGGAGGGGCUUAGGGAUGAUGAAAGCAUUAGUGACGACAUCAGGCGAGAGAGUAUCGAGACUGCAAAUCGCUUUCCUGUUUCUGCAUUUCUUACUGUAUAUGUAACUUUGGCAGUAUUCAGAUCGUAUAGCCUACGGGGAGCAGUGGAAAACAUAAUUUGUUGAUGCUUAAAAUUUGGAGUGGUAUGUUUGAUACAUCUGCACUGUUGACACGGUCUUCUUUAAUGAAUAACAAGGUAGUACAGUAGAAUUGUAACUUUAGAGCCCUGCAAACUGUCUGUGCAAAUUAUGAUGCUGGUUUAUAGAACUAAAUUUGUGGUGUGCCUGUAUUUUAUCUUUAGUUGUAGGUUUCUCGGAAGCUUUACUGUGGGCUGUGUUACUUGCCAAACAAGUUCUAAGCACAAGUCAGAUCCUUUCAUGGCUUCCCUUAUAAGAUGAUAUACAAGGAAGUUUAUUGCUUAGUGUAAUUAGACAAGUGCUUGGAUUAUUCUGUAGUGAAAAUAAUGUGAUUUUCCAUCUUCUUUCUGUUCUUAGAUCAGCUCACCUUAGGCCUUAGCCAUACAAAGUAAUUUGUGAAGAUAUAUGUUCCUUAGUUUGAUCCCACCUUCCCUGAUUAAACAUAUGUCGUU
rnacentral:rRNA from 1 species